GUCAUUCUCCGUUUUCCCGGGCUAUCGAUUUUCCCGCGUUUUUCCCUUUUGUUGUUUUCAUCAUCCUCGGCGCCUCUUCUCGACCGUGGCCCUCUGGCUUUUACUCUUUGGCGCCUCCGCGACUCUGCUUUACCUGUUCUGGGAACGCGAACGAGAACGAGAGAGUGAGAGAGUGAGUGAGAGGGAGAGUGAGGGUGAGCUCGAGCGAUGCGGUGAGAACGAAGAACGCAAUUCUAUUUCAUCUUACGAUUGCGCUUUCGAUAUUUAUACCCCACGAGAUACUUGAUCGCUCCCCAGUUGCCGGGGAAAUAUCCAGCGAGGGGGAUAGCGAGCCCGCUAUUAGCCAGUUAAGAGCGCGAGUGACUCUUGGAGAGACGAGGAGGUUUCGGCGGCUGC